rnacentral:lncRNA from 1 species
AAAUUUUCGGUUUCUCGCCCAGACCUAGUGUGUAUGUAACUUUGAAACUUUGAUAAGCAUUCUGGUACCUCUAACCAACAUGCAAUAGUAAGCACGGCCCACCCUUCUCUGCCUCUGAUUGGCUAAAAACAUGGCUCUGGCUGGCUUCAUUUGAUUCAUUUGAUGGUGUGAUUUAACUAGCCAGAGAACAGCUCAAGAUUCAAACCUGCAAAUUUGAGCUUUUUUUUUUUUAGUCAGAGCGUGUUUGUUUGUUAAUUAAUGUGCAAUGACCCUUGUAUAUUAAUAAAAAAGUCACACAAUUUUGUUGUGGACCUCAAAGGCUUCCAUAAUGAGUUUGUCAAUCUGUGCCAAACAAUCCUGUGCUUCAGCUGUUUUUCAGAAAGAGAUCAAAUUUACACUCAGGUUUUUGGCCUUUAAGGCUGACUGGCACGGCAACAAAGGAGGAUUUGAAUUGAUAAGAAAUUUAAUUUGAUGAUGUAAAAAAAUUCAUCAUACUAUGAACCUCUAUUCAGCCUCCUCAGACAGACUCAUCUAUUAUGCAGAGAUCCAUAAGUCUGAGGAGAGAGAGAGAGAGAGAGAGAGAGAGGGAGAGAGCGGGAGGAAUUAAAUGAGUUAGAUGUGGACGGAGAUAUUUUGUGAAAUCUGUGGUAAUUAGAUGGAUUAAUGAAUCAGAGACAAUCCCUGAAAUGGAGAUUAAUUCCUAUGACGUGGCCAUCAUGUUCUGUAUUUAUCAAUGUCAAGCAAGUAUUUUAUUAAUAAGCCAUAGAUCUGGACUUGUCCCUGUAGGUAAUAAAGGCCUAAUACGCCUAAAUCACACAGCAACAGAUAAUCUGGUGGAAGAGGUGAUGGGAUUUGAUGGAGAGACAGACACAGAGCAAGAGAAGGAGAGAGAAGCAGUCAUUGGUCUUUGGCAGGAUUUAAUUGGAAUUAUCUUUAUCCUCUAUGCAAUUACAUCUUCACACAUAUGAGUAAUGACGCUAGCAUGCUAAUUUAGCUGUGUGUGUGAAAGUCAGGUUUUUGUAUUGUAUUUCUCCUUGACAGUAAAAUCAGAUCGACUGCAAGAGAAGUAAGACUAGAAUGGGGAAAUCUUGAACUAAAUCUAAAACAAUGGGAUCAUCUUGUACUUGGAGUAAAGAAAUUAACUGCCGAUGUUUGUUAAAACAGUGGAUGUCGUCACUUAACUGCAAACCAAGUGCGCCCCUCACGACUGAGGCCAGCCGCCCCCCUAUCACCUCAACACCAGAGGGAUGAAAGAUAAAGAGACACCAUGACAGGAGCAAAGGUAGAAAGAUUUAUCCAACAACUGGCGCAGUAAUGAGGCCUUUUCAGAAAAACCAUCCUGAAUGCAGCAGGGACAUUGAACAAGUGUCAAACAGCUGAAAAAAAUGGGAACCAGACAAAGCCCGUUUACACACGGCUAUUAGCAGGGGACUAAAGCUGAAGUAUAAAUGACCUACAUCUGUACAGGAACAGUCAAGUCUGUAUUUUACUCUAAUUGAAUGAUAUAAUCCCUCCAGAUAGUCCUCAGAGCUGUGCCUCACAUUACUUUCCUGAUGUUACUUUUAAUAGGCUACCACUUGUCAUCCAUCUCAUCAUCUCUAAAGAUUUGGCUCUUCUGAUGGUUUAAAGUUGCUUUUUUUUUUCCCCUAUGAAUCUGUCUCCGCACUGAGCCGCCUACAUUUGCACCCAAAAUACUGUCAAAACUUUUACUUAUAAUUGCCAACACAAAUUUAAUGAUUCUCAGCUGGUAGAGAAGUACACGGAGAUGAACUCUAAAAUAAAAAAAAUAAUCAUAAUUAAACUUAGAAGUCAAGCAGACGUCACGGAAAUGCCGCUUUGCCCAGCGUGAGUAUUUUUACACAUCCAUGUUAGGUGACAGAAAGAGUCAGCAGAGGAAGAUUUUUUCUUCUCCAAGCUUGCAGGUGAUUUUCACGAUUCAUGAGAAGUGCUUGAAGAGCCCGGCUCAUUCUGAUCAAAUAAAAGUAGGACUCAGGAGUGUGGUGACUCGGUGCCUGUACUGCAGCUGUGAACUAUCUGUGGCAGGUGUGGAACUUUAAUACCAGUGAAACAUUUGCUUUUGACAGAUUCUGAUUUAGGGUUAGUCAAAGUUACACAUUGUUGCACAUCUUCCUUUUCCUAGUACCUGGGUAAACAAAUGCUCUAUUUGCAUGGUGGGAAGCUAGCUACAAAACAUUAACAUUUACCAGUUGAUCUGGAGUGGCAGUAACUGGCUUCAUUGAUAUUCCUUCCGAUUCGGAAAGUUGGACAAUCCUUACCAACCCCAACUUGACGACAACAUCAUAAUCCAAGAUGGCAUCAGUGCAUCAACAGUAGUGAGUUCACAGUAAAAGCUCUCAUAAUGUAUGAUUUAUUAGCACUUCUGUGUUGUUUUUGUGAAAUUAAGUAAGUGGUAUAUGUUGUACUGCCCAACGUCUAACUGUGAACACGGGGCUAUGGUGUUUGUAAGAGUAAAAUACGGUGUUAUGAGUUGUUUACAACUGGUAAACAACUAACAGCUGACAAUGGCUAACAAUAGGCGCCCCUAACAGUAGGCAUCACUAACAGGAGGUGUCACUAACAGGAGGUGUCACUAACAGGAGGCGUCACUAACAAUAGGCGUCUAUCUUGGUUUUCUGACUUGUUUACUGCCGUCAACUUGGGUGUAAUGUCAUUACCAGCUCCAACAUCCAUCUGGAACAGAGCAUAAAUUCCCAUGGGUGGGACCGCCUGGGCAAAACGCUGAGAACGAAAUCAACUAGCUUCUAAAUCAACUAGAUUCAACUAGCUUCACCAAUGCUCAGAGGGAAAGAGAAGGUGAUCAAGUCUGUUGCCAUUUUUAUAUUUGUACGCUUACAAUCAGUUUGAGUUGAAAUUGCCUUGUAGCUUUCACCAGCACUACUUCUACUAUCAUUCCUGCUAACAACAGUAACUACUGCACCAUUUUACCAGCGACUGGAGUGUGAUGAGUUCACUGCACUCUCGCUACAAAUGAACCACCUAAAAGUAUGAUGGAAACCAAGCCAAGACCACCCCUUCUUGGUGUUUUUGGCUCACUUUCCUGCUUUAGAAAAGACGACUUUUAAACUGGACUAGUAUGUGCAGCUUCAACCAGCUAACGUACAUUUUUGUCUUUGCUGCUGUUGUAUAACUUUGCUCCAGUUUACUUUAAACAAAUAUCUAAAAAAUGGUCCUCCUGACGUGUGUUAAGCACACUCGCCACUCAAAGAUAACUUUCACCCUGAUUGAUGGGGGUUAUUAUGGUUCUAUUUCCUCAGGGUUUCCCACAUUUCCCAUGGUGCCUAAGACCUGCAAAUCUCAAUGGUUGACCUGUGUCUUCAGGGAAUACUUGUAGAGACGGUAAUAUGUGCAGACACACACACUCACAGCAUGUGCACAUACACACAUUGGUAGCAUUUCACCUCGUUUUUUCAAUCUAACCACACAAUCCAUUAGGACUAACGUUUUCAACUUCCCGGCACUCUAAGCUUUUCCAGAAAACCAUUACUGUUUUUCAGGCAAAAAUACAAAUAACAAAAAUCAAAAUGUCACAGCGUGUCCUUGAAACCACUCUGUGUUUUGCUCCUCUCAGCUGUCGGCCUCUCCAUCAGUGCUAAUUACUGUAAAUUAGUUUGAACUGGGGAAGCUGAAGGCUGCCUGAUGUUGCAGAUUUAGAGUCAAUAGGCAUGUAAUGGCACUCUGUCUUUGGCCAUCAUUAAUCAAGGUUAUGUAUGGAGCUGCAGGAUGGAGGAGUGGAAGAACACAUGUCAAUUACCAGCUAACAAAGGAGAUGAGAUUUAGAAACAAUGCUAAUCUCCACUGUAGAAACACUACAGCCAUUAUAGCCUCUUAAUCCCGUCUUGUGUUUAUUUCAUUAUUACUGUCUGUUGCUUUUUCCUUGAGGCUUCAGCACCUUCAAAUUUCCUUAGUGGGAAAAGCAACAGUAGAACCUUUCACUGAUAUGAACAGUGAGCGGGGCUGACAGCAAAAGCAGCAUUACUCAUUUCAUCUAGACAGGUCUCUUUUAGAGUUUUAUAAAAACCCUCCUCCUAAACAUGAACGUUUUAUUGAAGGUCGAUUUGAUCUGGAGGCGAAAUGCAAAAAGCUUUUCAUGGGUGAUGGAGAGGGAGGCUGUACUGCAGAGUCCAACUCAUUAGCGCAAGGUUGGUCCCACAACACCGGUGCCCUCUGAGAAUUUUAAAAAACAACGUAAUCACUGAUGUAAUUAUUCAUCUGCAGAGUCUGGAGGAGCGUGCACGUUCUCUCAGACCAUUCGCUCAAACAAAUGGGCGUUUUGACAGCAAAGUAAAGUGCAGGAGUUUCUCAUGCACUUACACCAGUGUUAAUGUUUGGGUGAGACUCUCUUAACAUGAACCAAUUACAUGCUUAAAGUGACCUUUCUACAGCGGUUGAAGCUUAGCUUGUUUCCAAGCCAGUUGCUCGACAAGGAGCUGUGCUGACUGUUAUCCCCCGAGGGUAAAACUCUUAGUGUUGACAAGUACCUCAACCAACCCCACUUGAAAUGAACCACUUUCCCUUCAAUAACCAAGCAGCAACCACCAGGAUUGAGAAUUUAAACCAAUGCAGAACAAGUCCGCAGUUUCCAAUGUGUCAGUUUGAAAAUGGCUGCAAAAGCCGAGGAAAUCCCAUUAGAGUUCAUUUGAAACCCACCACCUUUACAGUUCAGUUCAAUGAGCACAUACUGUACCUCAUUUCUGUACUCAGACUAACUACACUGGUGCAAUAACUCAUCAGCUUUGAUCCCACUGAGGCAGAGAAUUAUGUAUUAUCAGGCAUGGUUUGAGGUUUGACUGGCAAAUUGGCAUCUUCUAUUAAGAGGUGGUAAGACUGUUGCUGUGUUCGUGUUGUACUUAGAAGUCGGGAUUUCCGAGCUCCAAGUCAGAAAUUCAUCUGGAACACCCCCUUGAAGUCAGAUUUCCAACUUGGAGAGUCAGACGAUCCUCACCAACCCCAACUUGACGACAACGUCAUAUUUCAAGAUGGCAGCGCAGUGCAUCAACAGUGAAGAGUAACAGUGAAAGCUCUCGUAAUGUAUUAUUUAUUAGCACUUCUAUUUUGUUUUUGUGAAAUUAAAUAAGUGGUAUAUGUUUUACUGGCCAAUGUCUAUCUGUGAACACAGUGCUAUGGUGUUUUUAAGAGUAAAAUACUGUGUUAUGCGUUGUUUACAACUGGUAAAGCUUUCAAGAACUGACAACAGUUAACAACGGCUUACUGUAGGUGUCAAUCUUGGUUUUCCGACUUAUUAACUGGAACGCCACCAACUCGGGUGUAACAACAUUCCCAGCAUGUGGCCUCAGCUCCAUCUCAAUUUACCAGCUGUUGUUUCUUUCUUGACGGUAAGAUUGCUAUUGUUUAUUUAUUGAUACAUUUGAGUAUUGAUAACCCUUUUUAUGGUUCUAAAAUAACUCAUAAUUACUCACAAGAGUUCAUCAUUGGGGGGUAGCUUGGCACUCCACCGGUUAAGAUCCAGAAACUUCAACAUCCCUGCUUCCUGUUAAUGAUGUUUAGUAUCAGACAUAAAUAAGUGGUUAAAUGUAGAUUCACUGGCGAUAUCUAGUGUAAUUAUCUCCUGGACAAUCAGGCGUCUAAUGUGUCGGAAAGUGCUUUAAUCAUAAUUGAAACCUAGAGCUCGGCAAUUAAUCAAGUUUCUGUCGCAAUCAUGAUUAUAGCUCCCAGAGAUUAUAAAAAUAUGAUAAUCAAGAUUGAACGAUUACUCAGCAGCCUGCCGUGCUGCGAUUGUUUCGUCUUCGAAGGUGGAUGAAGUUCACUCUCCCUUUCUGUCCACAGAGCAGAGUCAGGGCUCCACCUCUCCCCUCAAAUGGCUCUCCUCUUUACUUCAUCAUUAUUGGCUCAGAUCAAUAAGUACCAAGUUCAUGAUGAAGCUGCGGAUGCUGCUAAAGUUAGUCGUGGGCAGCCAUUUCUUCAACAUAGAGAGAGGAGAGCAGGGAAAGGUACAGGAGGUGGCAGGUGUGUGUUCCUAUAAGAGCCUGAAAGCCGAGGGAUUGAGUGAAUAAAACAUGACGAGAGAGGUCAUGGCCAUCAUGAGAGCGCAGAUUGUCAAGAUUAACAGUGACAUUGAUCCAUAUGAUGAUAAAAGAUAAUCCUGUAAGUCUUACCACUGAUAUGUUGAAUCAGAAUGUGAUAAAAUGUGAAAAGAUGAGCUCAGAUUCUUAAUUUUUUUAUUACAGCACUGAGAUUCAUUUGUCUGUUUACAGAUCUUUGUUGUAUGAUAUCUGGAAGAGACACCUGAGUUUAAAAAGAACUAAAAUCAUGACACAGUUAUUGAGGUUUCAGCCGAGAAAUCCAGUAUAUAAUGUUGACUAAAAUGUAUUAUGAACUGUUAUAAUUACCACGCACAAGCUGGAUUAAUGUGAUUUAUGCACUGCAUAUGCAGCUGCAGGUUCAAACUGGACAGGAGACAUUUUGCCCUGACACAAAGUUACAUUUUAAUCUCCUUUAAGUCGGGCCCUCUAAUUUACAUUGUCCAUUACCAUGCCGCUAACGACUCUGACCUUCUCCUCGGUUAAAAACUAGCCAGCCAGCAGAAGAGGAAAAGGAGGGGGGGAUGAAAAGAUGAUGUGAUUGGGGGAUGAAACCUCUAGAAGAAAGGCAGCGAGAGAGAGAAGGACAGGAUGACAAAGAGAAGACAGAGACAAGAUUUUUAGGGCCCUGGCAUUCUCUGAAGUCAUAAAUCUGGGGUUUAUGGUGAAAUGAUGGCAGAUAAUGUAAGUAAAGGUCAGCGCGGCAUGUCAGCCAACAAUAGAUCACAGGAACUGAUGGUUGUGGUCACACGCUGCUGAAGUUGAAUCCUGUUUCAUACAGCCGCUUCUUUUCUCUACUCAGGAUUUGGCUCAUUUUUGUCUCUAUCUGCUACUUAACUCGUGUUUUGCGAUACAGAAACAGCCACCUGUGAAGUGUGCCUCUCUGCCCCUGAUGUGAUAAAUUGUUAUUGAUAACCACUUGACAGAAUGUGUCAACAUUGUGUUUCACAGUCAAUAUCACCAGCGUGGGAGCUGGGGCAUGAAAAUCUCAUAAAUUUGUUUUUCAAUUGGCUGUUUACUCCUGUAAAGAAUUGUGAUGAUUGCGUGAUAAUUUAGGAAUUAUAGACCUUGGCCUGAUUUGUUUGUGUUUCAUCUGUAAAGCCAGACAAUGUUAAUUAACAAUUUUGUGCUGUAACCAAAAUAUUGAUUGUCAAUCUUUUGCGUGUCUUUAGAAAUAUUAAUCCUUAUACGAGUAAUCCAAACAAAUAUAAUUGACCUCAACAGCUCUCAUAUUUGUGUUAUAACAACAUUUCUUAUGUUUAAUUCUUAAAGAGUUCUCCCAUGCAAAUCAGGCCAGUACCAAACUUUUCUCUCACUGGCCCCAAGUACAAUAAUAUCCUCCCACACGUCUUAUGCCCACGAAGUAUUCUGAUUUCCAUACAAACACAGGGCACUUAGGCUCUAAUAAAAGCUUCCACACUCAGUGAAAAAAACUAGUGUGACCAUAUUCAAAAUCCUUAAAAAGAGGACACUACUAUGUGGGACGGAGCCACAGAGUCGCAUGUAGUUAAUUUUGAGAGUUUUUCGGGUCAGGUCAAGUGUUCUGUGCACGCUUCUAACUCCAGGCGACACAAACUCAAAACUUCCAUUCAAAACCUCUGACAUUUAAAGGAUUUUACUAACUCUUCCGGACAAGGCCGGACAGACCUCAAAAAAGAGGACAUGUCCAGGUAAAAGAGGAUGUACUGUCACCUUAAAAAAAACAUCCUUUAUGCCCAACAAUGACAUUUCUGCUCCAUAUGGAUCCCAGUGUCUCCAAACACUCAAUAUCAAGCAAAGCUAGAUCGGGAUAUGUGGGCAGCAAGCACCUUAUCACCAUUAUCCAUGGCCCUUAGAAAUGAAGUACUGAAAACUGCAGUUCCACAAGUGUCCACUUGAGGCUUGCUGCAGAGGCACCAGUAACCACAUACACACUAAGCCAAAAAAGCUCAUUUUUACCUUUACUGUCUGAUUCAAGAAACGGUUUCAGUCUGAAGAGCUCGAGGCUUCCAAAACACCCACUUUACAGAGAAAAAAGCUUGUUAGGGCCCCUCAAGGUUAGGCUGUACGCUCUGUCUACCCCUCGAAAAGGUAGAAAUUUGGUCAUUUUCAUUUUCUGACUCACAAUGUUCUCUUUGCAGGAAAGAUGUCAGAAGUAGCUUCCUUCUCACUUUACAGGAACUCUCAUUAGACUACCUCUUGGAAUAGACUGUUGAACAACAAGCUACCCCGACACAAAUCUAAAUAAAAAUAACCACAAAAGCCACCUCUGCCGAACUUGUAUUCCACUGUAAAACUCUAAAGUAUUACAUUGUGCAAAAUAGUAAUGAUCCGUUUAUGAAAUGAUGAAAUGAAUCCUCACUUCUUAACCUCGGUAUACGUCAGCAUUAGCAGAGUUAAAUGAGGACUUUAUCCCCCAACCACAAUCCACGUGAUCCACUAUGACCUGAGCAAAGUGCUGGAGUGUAAAACUUCUCUCAUUAGCCAUUCACAUUUGCAGGCCUGUCUUAUCAUGUAGAACCAGACAAGCUGCUUGUUGACUCAACCUUGCCUUCCUCAGAGGCAACAUUUUGAAGGGAAAAAAAUUAUCAUUUUGAUGGGAAUGAUGCCUCGCUAUGCUGCCGAAGCCACUCUGUCGUCUCCAGCUGAUAAAAACUCUAAAACAGUCAGACGCCACCUCUCCUGAGAUCCAAUUGGGAUGCAGUGAUAAAAAAAACAACAUAAAAAGGGCUUUAGUUAUGGUUCAAAUUUUUAUUUUUUAUUGAAAAACAGCAAUUCAGAGAUGCUGAUAGAAAUUAUGGAUUUGACUUUUAAACUUCUACAUCCUUGUUAGUGGGAAUUAUUGGUCCUUUCAAGAAACUUUUUCCAUCUCUGCUCAAAACUUACGGUCUUAACAUUAACAAUGAAAGGGUAACCAUGUGGCUUCGUAUUUUGGCUGUUUGCCACUGGAUAAUUAAUAUCUACUUUCAAGCUCCAGCAAUUAAUGACUUGAAAAGAGAGUGGCCAAAAAUCAUCAGAAAAGCACGAAGCCCAUGGACUGCUGUGUUGCACCAGAACCUAAAGUAAUGAACAUUAACUCAUCUUUCUUACGUUAUUUUCCCAUUUUUGAUUUCUAUUUUUACACAAACAGCUGAUCUGGAUCACUUUAAACUGUAUGUGGAGGAAUCAUGCUGUGUUCCAGUUGUACUUGGAAGUCGGAAUUUCCAAGCUCUGAGGCGGAAAUUCAUCUAGAACACCCCCCUGAAGUCGGAUUUCCAACUCCAAAAGUCGGACAAUCCUCACCAACCCC